UCGGGUAUGGUGUAACGGCUAACAUUGCCGCCUCUCAUAUUAUUACGAUCGCGGCAGCUCGGGGUUCGAUUCCCCGUACCCGAA